AAACCACACAAAUUAGAUUAAGAGUAACUCACAUCCAAAUUUGAGAAAAAAUGAAGUCAGUUUUUCUAAUUUGCUUUAUUUUGAGUUUAGUUGCAGGAAGAUCCACGGCCUCAUUUGGGAAGUGCUAUGCCAAGUGCUUUAUAGUGUGUGCUAUCACACCAGGCAUUCCCGUUGGCACUUGUGGUGCAAAAUGUUUGGCUGAUUGUCUUUUCAUUGCUUCUUCUCCUAUGGAUUUGAAUCAUACAGACACUCGUUACUUUUGCAAACUUGGUUGUGCCACUUCUCGUUGCACCAAAUUCAGCACCAAGAAAGACCCUGCCGAGAAGAAAGUCGAAAGUUGUGUGAAUACAUGUGAUCAAACAUGCAUGAAAGCUUAACAAGCCAAAACAUGAAAGAAGGAGUUGGGAUUGGCUUCAAAUAUACCAUAUAUGAAUAAACAAAAACCAAUGGUUAAAAAAAACCAUUUGUUUAAAAGCCAUAUUCCAAAUUUUAAGCAUAUAUAUAUAUAUAUAGUCUCAAGUUUGUGCAUGUAGUUAAUUAUGGUCAAUAUGAAAAAAAGAAAAGUUUUAGCUUUUUCUAUGGUUAUAUGAGAAAAUGGUGUGAUAUGUCAAAGAAUUUUACCUAUGCCUAUUCAUUAAUUACAUAUUUAA